GCAGUCGAACGAGGUCUCCUAACUGAUAGCUGGUGCUUGCAUCAGCUUGACGAUAGAUCUGACCGAGUGGCGAACUGGUGAGUAACACGUGGGUAACCUGCCCAGAAGAAGGGGAUAACACCUGGAAACAGAUGCUAAUACCGUAUAACAACGAGAACCACAUGGUUCUCGUUUGAAAGAUGGCUUUUAUGCUAUCGCUUCUGGAUGGACCCGCGGCGUAUUAGCUAGUUGGUGAGAUAAUAGCUCACCAAGGCAAUGAUACGUAGCAGACCUGAGAGGGUAAUCUGCCACAAUGGGACUGAGACACGGCCCAUACUCCUACGGGAGGCAGCAGUAGGGAAUCUUCCACAAUGGACGAAAGUCUGAUGGAGCAACGCCGCGUGAGUGAAGAAGGGUUUCGGCUCGUAAAACUCUGUUGUUAGAGAAGAACGACCGUGAGAGCAACUGCUCACGGUGUGACGGUAUCUAACCAGAAAGUCACGGCUAACUACGUGCCAGCAGCCGCGGUAAUACGUAGGUGGCAAACGUUGUCCGGAUUUAUUGGGCGUAAAGCGAGCGCAGGCGGUUUUCUAAGUCUGAUGUGAAAGCCUUCGGCUUAACCGGAGAAGUGCAUCGGAAACUGGAUAACUUGAGUGCAGAAAAGGACA
rnacentral:rRNA from 2 species